rnacentral:rRNA from 1 species
AUUGAACGCUGGCGGCAGGCCUAACACAUGCAAGUCGAACGAGUGGCGGACGGGUGAGUAAUGUCUGGGAAACUGCCCGAUGGAGGGGGAUAACUACUGGAAACGGUAGCUAAUACCGCAUACCAUCAGAUUGGCCCAGAUGGGAUUAGCUAGUAGGUGGGGGAAAGGCUUACCUAGGCGACGAUCCCUAGCGGGUCUGAGAGGAUGAGCCGCCAAACUGGAACGUAGACAAGGUCCAGACUCCUACGGGAGGCAGCAGUGGGGAAUAUUGCACAAUGGGCGCAAGCCUGAUGCAGCCAUGCCGCGUGUAUGAAGAAGGCCUUCGGGUUGUAAAGUACUUUCAGCGGGGAGGCGUUACCCGAAGAAGAAGCACCGGCUAACUCCGUGCCAGCCGCCGCGGUAAUUC